CAUUACUGCAUUUUUCUCAUAAAAAAGAAUCACAAUUACAUUUAUAGAGAAUAAUUGAUAUAGCAAUUCAGUUAUUACAAGCAAUUUUAUUGGCUUAAAAAGUUGAACAAUGGAAGAGGCCAAAUUAUUUUCCUUUUUGUUUUUUAAUCAAGAAAUUGUUGAAGCUGGUUUAUACUUCACUUUGUUAAAUUUGAAAGUUCUUGUUCACAGCAAGGACUGCUAUUUCUGCUUUGGUUUCAGCUAGCUGAUUUUCUGCACUGUGUAUUUGCUGAUAAAGUAGAGAGAUUAUUCCAACACAGCCAUACACAGGAUCUUGAAUUCUGCAUCGUGCCUCAUAGCAUAAGCAAUCCGCUGCUGCAGCUCGUAGAUGAACCGGCAGUUGCUGGAGCAUUUUUCCCACGUUGCUGGAACCAUAGAUUUUGUGGACACAUGAAAAUCUUUCAGGAUCAUUGGAAGGAAAAUAUGGAGAGAAAAUGCAAUCUAAAGGGCAUUUUCUUCUCAAAUACUUGCAAGCAGAACAACGACCAUUAAUCAUUCUCAAGAAUCUAAAGAGAAAUCUAUUACAAAUCUCAACAACAAAGACAUAUAUCCUCUCAAACUAGAUUUUCUGUAUAUUUAACCAUCAGGUUAUAAAUAGGAGAGCAUUUGUUUUGAAAUAGACUACCUUUGAUUUCCAAACGGCUAGUUUUCUCAGAAUGGAAUGAGAACGUGAAUGGAGAUAAUUGAGGAUGAAGGAGUAGAAGUUUGGAUUUUCCACAAGGAUACGGAUUCCUUUAAGGAAACUCGAAAGCCCCACCACCCAUCAUUUCCAAGGAAAAUUCAAGCAUAAUUUUCCAGACAAUCUCCUCGAGCAACUCCUAUCAUCAGACAAUUUUAGAGAGACAACUGCGAAGUACUAAUAGAUAGAGCAAAGUUAACAUCUUGCUUAGUUAGAAUCUUUAGUGAAUACAUACCCAGAGCCAAAAGAGUACGCAUGGGUUUAUCCCAACAAAACAUAAGUUCACCUUCCUGACAUGAAGGUUCCAGGUUUUAUUAUUAAGACUUACAUACUAAACAGAUAGACAGGGUCACUUAAAGCGACCAGUGCAUAUGCUGGGUAGAAGAGUCGUAUUCCCUGGAGUGAUCAAGUGCCAUGUACUGCCUUGUAUUCUGUUGAGAUAACUCAAGAUCACCAGAGAAUUGACUGUUCAGAGGCUGUGAAAUUUGACCCAGACCCAGAUCAGGGCACAUCUCGUGCGAACUGCUGCUCGCUUCACUGCCCUUGAAACCCCAGGAAGCGUUUGGAUAUUGAUUGACAACUGCACCAUGCGGAGCUGUUGAUUGAGCCAUGGGAACCCCUUGGGGAUUAACCAGGUCCUUCAUCCCAAGCCCUGAUGCUUGGUUUCUUGGGCCCCAUGGUUGAUUUGACAGAAGAGAGAGAGCACAGCUCGAGUCAGCAAUGCCAACUCCUGUGUAGCAUUCUCCUGAAGGAAUUCCAGAACUGGAAAAACCAGUCCCACUUGCUGAACCUUGCAUGUAGAUGUUGGAUGGAGGAUUCUGAGAGCUAUUCUGCCAUGGAGGAUGAGGAACGGACCUUCCUGCAGCUGUGGUUUGAUUCCCAGGUGCCCGCUCACAGGGCCUUGCACCAGGCCAUGCAUCCCUCCCAGUAAGCCUUGAGUAAGCACUGAAAUCCACAAGAAAGCUCCCAGCUCUGCUGCUGUUAUCUGUCACCACAUGAACCAAGCAGACAAUCAUAUUAAGAACCUAAAGCAUAAAGCAAAAAUAAGUCCAAUGGCAGUUGUAAGGAGGACCUUUGAAAGUGAUUCUCACUUCUAAAAUCUUACCAAAAAUUGCUGAAGAGAGUCGGCUCUGGCGAGAUGACAUCACUGGUCCAGGUGGUGGCUUCCUCCGCCGCUCAUUAUGACCAGCUAGGCGUCUGCGGCAGCUUCGUUUUCCUUGGUCAAAUUCAGGAAGAAGAUGAAAUCUGCUACACUGCUGGCAAAAUCUUUGCUCCAAACCAGCAACAAUGACCUUAGGAGACUUGGAGUGCAUGCCACAAACUUUGUGCCUGGAAUAAUACGCCUUAGCAUCACUCAGAUCCACCUUACAUCCCUCAACUUGGCACCUGGGUGGCUGCUGCUGUCCGCCGUGAACCUUCCUCGCCGGGCCCCCAGACCCGGAGGACGAAGACCCGGAUGCGGACUUGGCCGGAGUCCCAGCCCCUGCAUUCUCAAAAUAGAUUUUUUGGCCAAAUUUCAACCCAUUUAUUGACUCGGCAGGUGGAGAAGAAGCGUUGGAGUUACCUGACUCAGUCAAACAACCCGAACCCGUUUCCAUAAGUGGUGCUUACAGAAGAUUCAUGGUGUUAUCAUGGGUCAAUGAGGAAAGACUCGAGGGGCUCUGCUGGACUUUAGUGUUCUUGAUUGCAAAUAAAAGUAAAGUACAGAGAAGAAAAGAGAGAGAGAGAAUGGGGCGAGUUUAGCCUGGCUUUAGAGCUUUAAGAGAGAGCAGAAGAAAAAGUAGCUAAAAGCAGACACCUGACACUGGCCCAUGCCAGAGAGGGGGUGAAGUAUAGUACACUAACUGGACUGACCAAGAAGACCCCUUUUCUCUUUCUCUCUUUCUAUCAAAAUAAUAGUGGAAAAAAGCAGAGACUGAGAAAGGUAGCAACAGAGAAAGAGAGGUACUUUGGGGAGUUCAAGGUGGCCUUUUGUCUUUUAUAGUGUUACAGAGACUGGUUACAUGGGCAACUAAACUCGAAUGUCGUUUUAUAGAGAGCUUUUUCUGUUCAUUCUCUUUGGCUUUAUUGUUUUAGUUUGGCACCUCUCUUUCUUUCUCGAUUGAGUGUCACUGUGUCUCUGUAUGUGAGCUGCCAUUUUCUCAUUUUCUUCUCUCUCUCUCUGUAAUGGGUGCCAAUAUCAAUGCCAUUUUUGGUGCGGUGAAAGGUCUGAAAGGCCCUUUCUUUUCCUUGGUUAGGUGACCCAUUAGACCAUUUUUCUUCUUCUUCCUCCCCUCCUCCU
rnacentral:misc_RNA from 1 species